AUUGAACGCUGGCGGCAGGCCUAACACAUGCAAGUCGAGCGAGAGGCGGACGGGUGAGUAAUGUAUGGGGAACUGCCGGAUAGAGGGGGAUAACUACUGGAGACGGUAGCGAAUACCGCAUACCAUCGGAUGUGCCCAUAUGGGAUUAGCUAGUAGGUGGGGUAAUGGCUCACCUAGGCGACGAUCCCUAGCUGGUCUGAGAGGAUGACCAGCCACACUGGGACUGAGACACGGCCCAGACUCCUACGGGAGGCAGCAGUGGGGAAUAUUGCACAAUGGGCGCAAGCCUGAUGCAGCCAUGCCGCGUGUGUGAAGAAGGCCCUAGGGUUGUAAAGUACUUUCAGUCGGGAGGCGUUACCGACAGAAGAAGCACCGGCUAACUCCGUGCCAGCAGCCGCGGUAAUUC
rnacentral:rRNA from 1 species